AUACGGAGGGUGCAAGCGUUAAUCGGAAUUACUGGGCGUAAAGAGUACGUAGGUGGUUUAUUAAGUCAGAUGUGAAAGCCCCGGGCUCAACCUGGGAACUGCAUUUGAAACUAGUAGACUAGAGUAUGGUAGAGGGGGGUAGAAUUUCUAGUGUAGCGGUGAAAUGCGUAGAUAUUAGAAGGAAUACCAGUGGCGAAGGCGGCCCCCUGGACCAAUACUGAUACUGAGGUACGAAAGCGUGGGUAGCGAACAGGAUUAGAAACCCCAGUAGUCC
rnacentral:rRNA from 1 species